AUGAACGCUGGCGGCGUGCCUAAUACAUGCAAGUCGAGCGAACAGACGAGGAGCUUGCUCCUCUGACGUUAGCGGCGGACGGGUGAGUAACACGUGGAUAACCUACCUAUAAGACUGGGAUAACUUCGGGAAACCGGAGCUAAUACCGGAUAAUAUAUUGAACCGCAUGGUUCAAUAGUGAAAGACGGUUUUGCUGUCACUUAUAGCUGGAUCCGCGCCGCAUUAGCUAGUUGGUAAGGUAACGGCUUACCAAGGCAACGAUGCGUAGCCGACCUGAGAGGGUGAUCGGCCACACUGGAACUGAGACACGGUCCAGACUCCUACGGGAGGCAGCAGUAGGGAAUCUUCCGCAAUGGGCGAAAGCUUGACGGAGCAACGCCGCGUGAGUGAUGAAGGUCUUCGGAUCGUAAAACUCUUUUAUUAGGGAAGAACAAAUGUGUAAGUAACUAUGCACGUCUUGACGGUACCUAAUCAGAAAGCCACGGCUAACUACGUG
rnacentral:rRNA from 1 species